rnacentral:rRNA from 1 species
AUGAACGCUAGCUACAGGCUUAACACAUGCAAGUCGAGGGGCAGCAUGGUCUUAGCUUGCUAAGGCCGAUGGCGACCGGCGCACGGGUGAGCAACACGUAUCCAACCUGCCGUCUACUCUUGGACAGCCUUCUGAAAGGAAGAUUAAUACAAGAUGGCAUCAUGAGUCCGCAUGUUCACAUGAUUAAAGGUAUUCCGGUAGACGAUGGGGAUGCGUUCCAUUAGAUAGUAGGCGGGGUAACGGCCCACCUAGUCUUCGAUGGAUAGGGGUUCUGAGAGGAAGGUCCCCCACAUUGGAACUGAGACACGGUCCAAACUCCUACGGGAGGCAGCAGUGAGGAAUAUUGGUCAAUGGGCGAGAGCCUGAACCAGCCAAGUAGCGUGAAGGAUGACUGCCCUAUGGGUUGUAAACUUCUUUUAUAAAGGAAUAAAGUCGGGUAUGGAUACCCGUUUGCAUGUACUUUAUGAAUAAGGAUCGGCUAACUCCGUGCCAGCAGCCGCGGUAAUACGGAGGAUCCGAGCGUUAUCCGGAUUUAUUGGGUUUAAAGGGAGCGUAGAUGGAUGUUUAAGUCAGUUGUGAAAGUUUGCGGCUCAACCGUAAAAUUGCAGUUGAUACUGGAUAUCUUGAGUGCAGUUGAGGCAGGCGGAAUUCGUGGUGUAGCGGUGAAAUGCUUAGAUAUCACGAAGAACUCCGAUUGCGAAGGCAGCCUGCUAAGCUGCAACUGACAUUGAGGCUCGAAAGUGUGGGUAUCAAACAGGAUUAGAUACCCUGGUAGUCCACACGGUAAACGAUGAAUACUCGCUGUUUGCGAUAUACAGCAAGCGGCCAAGCGAAAGCGUUAAGUAUUCCACCUGGGGAGUACGCCGGCAACGGUGAAACUCAAAGGAAUUGACGGGGGCCCGCACAAGCGGAGGAACAUGUGGUUUAAUUCGAUGAUACGCGAGGAACCUUACCCGGGCUUAAAUUGCAGAUGAAUUACGGUGAAAGCCGUAAGCCGCAAGGCAUCUGUGAAGGUGCUGCAUGGUUGUCGUCAGCUCGUGCCGUGAGGUGUCGGCUUAAGUGCCAUAACGAGCGCAACCCUUGUUGUCAGUUACUAACAGGUUCCGCUGAGGACUCUGACAAGACUGCCAUCGUAAGAUGUGAGGAAGGUGGGGAUGACGUCAAAUCAGCACGGCCCUUACGUCCGGGGCUACACACGUGUUACAAUGGGGGGUACAGAGGGCCGCUACCACGCGAGUGGAUGCCAAUCCCCAAAACCUCUCUCAGUUCGGACUGGAGUCUGCAACCCGACUCCACGAAGCUGGAUUCGCUAGUAAUCGCGCAUCAGCCACGGCGCGGUGAAUACGUUCCCGGGCCUUGUACACACCGCCCGUCAAGCCAUGGGAGCCGGGGGUACCUGAAGUGCGUAACCGCGAGGAGCGCCCUAGGGUAAAACUGGUGACUGGGGCU